rnacentral:rRNA from 1 species
UACGUAGGGUGCGAGCGUUAAUCGGAAUUACUGGGCGUAAAGCGUGCGCAGGCGGUUCGUUGUGUCUGAUGUGAAAGCCCCGGGCUCAACCUGGGAAUGGCAUUGGAAACUGGCGAGCUGGAGUGUGGCAGAGGGGGGUGGAACUCCGAGUGUAGAGGUGAAAUUCGUAGAUAUUCGGAAGAACACCAGUGGCGAAGGCGGCUCACUGGCCCGGUACUGACGCUGAGGUGCGAAAGCGUGGGGAGCAAACAGG